rnacentral:rRNA from 1 species
GAUUAAGUUAUUAAGGGCGCACGGUGGAUGCCUUGGCACUAGAAGCCGAUGAAGGACGUUACUAACGACGAUAUGCUUUGGGGAGCUGUAAGUAAGCUUUGAUCCAGAGAUUUCCGAAUGGGGAAACCCAGCAUGAGUUAUGUCAUGUUAUCGAUAUGUGAAUACAUAGCAUAUCAGAAGGCACACCCGGAGAACUGAAACAUCUUAGUACCCGGAGGAAGAGAAAGAAAAUUCGAUUCCCUUAGUAGCGGCGAGCGAAACGGGAAGAGCCCAAACCAGCAAGCUUGCUUGUUGGGGUUGUAGGACACUCUAUACGGAGUUACAAAGGACGACAUUAGACGAAUCAUCUGGAAAGAUGAAUCAAAGAAGGUAAUAAUCCUGUAGUCGAAAAUGUUGUCUCUCUUGAGUGGAUCCUGAGUACGACGGAGCACGUGAAAUUCCGUCGGAAUCUGGGAGGACCAUCUCCUAAGGCUAAAUACUCUCUAGUGACCGAUAGUGAACCAGUACCGUGAGGGAAAGGUGAAAAGCACCCCGGAAGGGGAGUGAAAUAGAACCUGAAACCGUGUGCUUACAAGUAGUCAGAGCCCGUUAAUGGGUGAUGGCGUGCCUUUUGUAGAAUGAACCGGCGAGUUACGAUUUGAUGCAAGGUUAAGCAGUAAAUGUGGAGCCGUAGCGAAAGCGAGUCUGAAUAGGGCGUUUAGUAUUUGGUCGUAGACCCGAAACCAGGUGAUCUACCCUUGGUCAGGUUGAAGUUCAGGUAACACUGAAUGGAGGACCGAACCGACUUACGUUGAAAAGUGAGCGGAUGAACUGAGGGUAGCGGAGAAAUUCCAAUCGAACCUGGAGAUAGCUGGUUCUCUCCGAAAUAGCUUUAGGGCUAGCCUCAAGUGAUGAUUAUUGGAGGUAGAGCACUGUUUGGACGAGGGGCCCCUCUCGGGUUACCGAAUUCAGACAAACUCCGAAUGCCAAUUAAUUUAACUUGGGAGUCAGAACAUGGGUGAUAAGGUCCGUGUUCGAAAGGGAAACAGCCCAGACCACCAGCUAAGGUCCCAAAAUAUAUGUUAAGUGGAAAAGGAUGUGGCGUUGCCCAGACAACUAGGAUGUUGGCUUAGAAGCAGCCAUCAUUUAAAGAGUGCGUAAUAGCUCACUAGUCGAGUGACACUGCGCCGAAAAUGUACCGGGGCUAAACAUAUUACCGAAGCUGUGGAUUGUCCUUUGGACAAUGGUAGGAGAGCGUUCUAAGGGCGUUGAAGCAUGAUCGUAAGGACAUGUGGAGCGCUUAGAAGUGAGAAUGCCGGUGUGAGUAGCGAAAGACGGGUGAGAAUCCCGUCCACCGAUUGACUAAGGUUUCCAGAGGAAGGCUCGUCCGCUCUGGGUUAGUCGGGUCCUAAGCUGAGGCCGACAGGCGUAGGCGAUGGAUAACAGGUUGAUAUUCCUGUACCACCUAUAAUCGUUUUAAUCGAUGGGGGGACGCAGUAGGAUAGGCGAAGCGUGCGAUUGGAUUGCACGUCUAAGCAGUAAGGCUGAGUAUUAGGCAAAUCCGGUACUCGUUAAGGCUGAGCUGUGAUGGGGAGAAGACAUUGUGUCUUCGAGUCGUUGAUUUCACACUGCCGAGAAAAGCCUCUAGAUAGAAAAUAGGUGCCCGUACCGCAAACCGACACAGGUAGUCAAGAUGAGAAUUCUAAGGUGAGCGAGCGAACUCUCGUUAAGGAACUCGGCAAAAUGACCCCGUAACUUCGGGAGAAGGGGUGCUCUUUAGGGUUAACGCCCAGAAGAGCCGCAGUGAAUAGGCCCAAGCGACUGUUUAUCAAAAACACAGGUCUCUGCUAAACCGUAAGGUGAUGUAUAGGGGCUGACGCCUGCCCGGUGCUGGAAGGUUAAGAGGAGUGGUUAGCUUCUGCGAAGCUACGAAUCGAAGCCCCAGUAAACGGCGGCCGUAACUAUAACGGUCCUAAGGUAGCGAAAUUCCUUGUCGGGUAAGUUCCGACCCGCACGAAAGGCGUAACGAUUUGGGCACUGUCUCAACGAGAGACUCGGUGAAAUCAUAGUACCUGUGAAGAUGCAGGUUACCCGCGACAGGACGGAAAGACCCCGUGGAGCUUUACUGUAGCCUGAUAUUGAAAUUCGGCACAGCUUGUACAGGAUAGGUAGGAGCCUUUGAAACGUGAGCGCUAGCUUACGUGGAGGCGCUGGUGGGAUACUACCCUAGCUGUGUUGGCUUUCUAACCCGCACCACUUAUCGUGGUGGGAGACAGUGUCAGGCGGGCAGUUUGACUGGGGCGGUCGCCUCCUAAAAGGUAACGGAGGCGCUCAAAGGUUCCCUCAGAAUGGUUGGAAAUCAUUCAUAGAGUGUAAAGGCAUAAGGGAGCUUGACUGCGAGACCUACAAGUCGAGCAGGGUCGAAAGACGGACUUAGUGAUCCGGUGGUUCCGCAUGGAAGGGCCAUCGCUCAACGGAUAAAAGCUACCCCGGGGAUAACAGGCUUAUCUCCCCCAAGAGUUCACAUCGACGGGGAGGUUUGGCACCUCGAUGUCGGCUCAUCGCAUCCUGGGGCUGUAGUCGGUCCCAAGGGUUGGGCUGUUCGCCCAUUAAAGCGGUACGCGAGCUGGGUUCAGAACGUCGUGAGACAGUUCGGUCCCUAUCCGUCGUGGGCGUAGGAAAUUUGAGAGGAGCUGUCCUUAGUACGAGAGGACCGGGAUGGACAUACCUCUGGUGUACCAGUUGUCGUGCCAACGGCAUAGCUGGGUAGCUAUGUGUGGACGGGAUAAGUGCUGAAAGCAUCUAAGCAUGAAGCCCCCCUCAAGAUGAGAUUUCCCAACUUCGGUUAUAAGAUCCCUCAAAGAUGAUGAGGUUAAUAGGUUCGAGGUGGAAGCAUGGUGACAUGUGGAGCUGACGAAUACUAAUCGAUCGAAGACUUAAUCAA